CCCUAGCUACCCAGCCGUUGUUUGACUCAACCCACAAUGCAUCCAGGCUGAAAUAUUCGUAAAAGACAUUGCCCAAAGGACCUUGGUAGAAUCCAAGGGAGAAAAAGGCAACCUCAGUUUCCAUGGAAAAAUUUCCCUGUUUGACUCCAUAAUAAAGAACUCAUCUCCAGGGUCAGAGAAGAGGUCCUCAGACACAAGAGUGUCUGCCUUCAACUCCUCCUGACUGAGACCAUUGGACCUCCCAGCUGCUAGGUCCAAAUCCUACUCCUUGAAGGACCUCGAAGCUCCACCUGUGCUGAUCAAAUUCUCACAAUAGGAAUAGCACAAAGGCUGAAAAGAGAAAUGCUGAAUGAAAAAUCAAGCAAGAAGUUAAUCUAUUUAGCACCUUGUUACCUCUCUUCUGAGUGUAAUCUGGGAGGCCGU
rnacentral:lncRNA from 1 species